rnacentral:rRNA from 1 species
CCUGACGGCACUCACGCGGUGGUCCCUUCUGACCCCAUGCCGAACUCAGAAGUGAAACGCCGUAGCGCCGAUGGUAGUGUGGGGUCUCCCCAUGCGAGAGUAGGGAACUGCCAGGC